rnacentral:rRNA from 1 species
UUGAAGAGUUUGAUCAUGGCUCAGAUUGAACGCUGGCGGCAGGCCUAACACAUGCAAGUCGAGCGGUAGCACAGAGAGCUUGCUCUCGGGUGACGAGCGGCGGACGGGUGAGUAAUGUCUGGGAAACUGCCUGAUGGAGGGGGAUAACUACUGGAAACGGUAGCUAAUACCGCAUAACGUCGCAAGACCAAAGUGGGGGACCUUCGGGCCUCAUGCCAUCAGAUGUGCCCAGAUGGGAUUAGCUAGUAGGUGGGGUAAUGGCUCACCUAGGCGACGAUCCCUAGCUGGUCUGAGAGGAUGACCAGCCACACUGGAACUGAGACACGGUCCAGACUCCUACGGGAGGCAGCAGUGGGGAAUAUUGCACAAUGGGCGCAAGCCUGAUGCAGCCAUGCCGCGUGUGUGAAGAAGGCCUUCGGGUUGUAAAGCACUUUCAGCGGGGAGGAAGGCGUUAAGGUUAAUAACCUUGGCGAUUGACGUUACCCGCAGAAGAAGCACCGGCUAACUCCGUGCCAGCAGCCGCGGUAAUACGGAGGGUGCAAGCGUUAAUCGGAAUUACUGGGCGUAAAGCGCACGCAGGCGGUCUGUCAAGUCGGAUGUGAAAUCCCCGGGCUCAACCUGGGAACUGCAUUCGAAACUGGCAGGCUAGAGUCUUGUAGAGGGGGGUAGAAUUCCAGGUGUAGCGGUGAAAUGCGUAGAGAUCUGGAGGAAUACCGGUGGCGAAGGCGGCCCCCUGGACAAAGACUGACGCUCAGGUGCGAAAGCGUGGGGAGCAAACAGGAUUAGAUACCCUGGUAGUCCACGCCGUAAACGAUGUCGAUUUGGAGGUUGUGCCCUUGAGGCGUGGCUUCCGGAGCUAACGCGUUAAAUCGACCGCCUGGGGAGUACGGCCGCAAGGUUAAAACUCAAAUGAAUUGACGGGGGCCCGCACAAGCGGUGGAGCAUGUGGUUUAAUUCGAUGCAACGCGAAGAACCUUACCUGGUCUUGACAUCCACAGAACUUAGCAGAGAUGCUUUGGUGCCUUCGGGAACUGUGAGACAGGUGCUGCAUGGCUGUCGUCAGCUCGUGUUGUGAAAUGUUGGGUUAAGUCCCGCAACGAGCGCAACCCUUAUCCUUUGUUGCCAGCGGUCCGGCCGGGAACUCAAAGGAGACUGCCAGUGAUAAACUGGAGGAAGGUGGGGAUGACGUCAAGUCAUCAUGGCCCUUACGACCAGGGCUACACACGUGCUACAAUGGCAUAUACAAAGAGAAGCGACCUCGCGAGAGCAAGCGGACCUCAUAAAGUAUGUCGUAGUCCGGAUUGGAGUCUGCAACUCGACUCCAUGAAGUCGGAAUCGCUAGUAAUCGUAGAUCAGAAUGCUACGGUGAAUACGUUCCCGGGCCUUGUACACACCGCCCGUCACACCAUGGGAGUGGGUUGCAAAAGAAGUAGGUAGCUUAACCUUCGGGAGGGCGCUUACCACUUUGUGAUUCAUGACUGGGGUGAAGUCGUAACAAGGUAACCGUAGGGGAACCUGCGGUUGGAUCACCUCCUU